rnacentral:rRNA from 1 species
CACUCCUGCGGGAGGCAGCAGUGGGGAAUAUUGCACAAUGGGCGCAAGCCUGAUGCAGCCAUGCCGCGUGUAUGAAGAAGGCCUUCGGGUUGUAAAGUACUUUCAGCGGGGAGGAAGGCGAUAGGGUUAAUAACCUUGUCGAUUGACGUUACCCGCAGAAGAAGCACCGGCUAACUCCGUGCCAGCAGCCGCGGUAAUACGGAGGGUGCAAGCGUUAAUCGGAAUUACUGGGCGUAAAGCGCACGCAGGCGGUCUGUCAAGUCGGAUGUGAAAUCCCCGGGCUCAACCUGGGAACUGCAUUCGAAACUGGCAGGCUAGAGUCUUGUAGAGGGGGGUAGAAUUCCAGGUGUAGCGGUGAAAUGCGUAGAGAUCUGGAGGAAUACCGGUGGCGAAGGCGGCUCCCUGGACAAAGACUGACGCUCAGGUGCGAAAGCGUGGGGAGCAAACAGGAUUAGAAACCCCUGUAGUCCC